UCCCAAUGGAAUGUGAUGGGAGCUUUGCCUGGCAAGGAAUUACUCUGUCCAGUACUGGGUUCUUCAGUACAAGAAAGAAAAGGAGCUACUGGAGAAGGUUCAGAGGAGAGCCAUAAAGAUGAUUAGAGGUCUGGAACAUCUCUCUUAUGAGGAGAGACUGCAGGACCUGAGCCUGAAUUGUCUAGAGAUGAGAAGACCGAGAGAGGAUCUCAUCAAUGGCCUAUAAGUAUCUCAAAGGUAGCAAGAAAUUCAAGCACGUGUUGUCUCAGGCAAAUAAAGUAACCUUACAAAUUGCAUUUCAAGGAUUAGCAAGUAGCAUUUAAUCUUGUCUUUUUCUAGCCUGGAAAGUAAAACUGAAAGCAACAUCCCAAACCAUCGAAUCCAUUCUUUCAAUGACUGUUGAGCAGUUUUGUAUCAUCCUCUCUUAAACUAAUUGCUUUUAUUAAAAAAAAAAAAAAAUUAUCACCACUGCUCCUGUUUGGAGGAUAUUCCAGCACUUCACCAUCCUAAUGAUCAGCAGUCUUCUAGUUUCUAGCAUGACUUUAUUUAACAGACAGUUUGUGCUGGAAUAAAUUCACUCUCACAGUCAUAUGCAUAGCCACCUAUGCAGCAUCUACAAUUUUCUCACUAUUAGGCCUGAACCUGCCCAGCAGAAACUGAUACUCAAAAAAACCCAACCAAACAACAAAAAAACCCAAUCACCACCAACACUUGGGCAUGACUGCUGAAUCCUCCCUUGACCCAAGAGAUCUCUCAUUACACUCACUUUUGGGUGACGCUGUAGGAAUCUAGCUGCCUCCUCAAAGUACUCGAGUUUGAGUUCUUUCAUGACCUUAGGAAGA